UUGAUCAUGGCUCAGAGUGANNCGCUGGCNNGUAGGCCUAACACAUGCAAGUCGAACGGCAGCACAGGGGAGCUUGCUCUCUGGGUGGCGAGUGGCGGACGGGUGAGGAAUACAUCGGAAUCUACUUUUUCGUGGGGGAUAACGUAGGGAAACUUACGCUAAUACCUGCAUACGACCUACGGGUGAAAGCAGGGGAUCUUCGGACCUUGCGCGAUUGAAUGAGCCGAUGUCGGAUUAGCUAGUUGNGCGGGGUAAAGGCCCACCAAGGCGACGAUCCUGUAGCUGGUCUGAGAGGAUGAUCAGACCGACACUGGAACUGAGACACGGUCCAGACUCCU
rnacentral:rRNA from 1 species